rnacentral:tRNA from 1 species
GAAAUAGAAGGUUAAAGAUAAGCUGCUAACUUAUUCUUUUAGCGGUUUAAUUCCGUUAUUAUUUCU